UCCACAGAGCGACUACCUAGCCCCUAGGGUUACAAGUUUUUUGCCCCAAGCCCUGUACUACUAUUCUCCCGUCUUUUUCUAUCUCUUUCCCAUAGCAAAACAAAACCCUAGGUUAAAUCCUAAACCUAAUCCCGAUCCUGCCUUUGUUUAGUUUAUUUUUUUCGUUUGAUUGAUUUAACAAUCAAAGGAUCGAUUUCACCAAAGGUGUUAUUUUUCAAUGGAGCCUAGGAAGAACGGAAGGCCAGACAAACACUUUUGCGGCUAAAUGUCUCAAAAGAAUAUCCAUAUUACUCGCCAAGGUUUGUGAUCAUUCCAUUAUAUUACUUGCAUGUGUAGACAUUGUUGAUUCAGCGGGGAGUAUAACAAUCUUGCUCUCAUCUGUGUUCUCUAAUGCAUAAGAAAAACACCAGCAAAGAUGAAUUACACCGUAUUUGAUGAGGCUCGACAAAAGCUGAAGAUCUUGGAAGUCUGGCAGCCGUUAGUGCGGUUUCUAUAAGGUCUAAUCGUAAUCAUGGUCACUGAGGUACCUUAAAGUCAGAUGUCAAGUCACUUUAAAUCAUGGAGCCAAAAUAUGGUUCCGUUCAGAAGGCCUGAGAAAGAAGAAGGGUGUUUGUUCUCUAUAUAACAACUCAUUUGGGUAAUAGUUUAAAAGCAGUAGUGUUCAUUUCAACGUAUGUAUAUGGGUGUUGUGUGAGGGCUCAGGUUGUAAUGAAAGAUGUUUCCCAGUUCCUGGACUCUUUAACUAAGCAUGAAACAACUGACGCCACAUAUAACAUAUAGUCUUUAAAACUUAAACUUUUGAAACUUGAUUUCGUAGCUUCUUGAUUUGGCUUAUUAAUUGUCCAUUUUUGCUUCGGUUAUAAGCUUUACUUCCAUUGCUUCUGUAUAUAAUCGUCCAUCAGUAUAUAUGACAUAACACAUGCAUAAGCACUGCAGAGACGUACGCCUAGGCUCACUUUUACCCAGAUGUAGACUGCAUUCUCGAGACUUGCAUUUUUCUAAUGCUCUUUAGACACCAUCAACUUAAAUGUUUCCUUUUCAAUGUGUAAUUAACAGUGGAAAGCAAAUCCUUACAUCCAUUAGUGUAAUUAUCUGGGAUGGCGAACUUAAGCUCGUGCUUUGUUAUUUUAAGUAAUUGAAUAUUUUGUGUUAUCAAUUUUUUCUGUUUCAUGAUUCAAACAUAGUUUUCUCUACAAAAUACUUAGGCCCGUGCAGAACAUGGACGUCACACCUAGUUAUAUAAUAGUUUCAGCAGAAAAUACUCUGCCGUGGUUAAAAGCUGUAUCAAGUUGACCCACCAAGAAAAAUUAGACCAAUAGGAAUCGUAGGUUGAAUUUUAUAGCUUCUGGCCCCACUGAACAAGAGUUUGACCGAUAGUACGCGCGAGUUUUUGACCCUUUUUGAGUCGUUCUUUUUGAUGCACACGAAUUUGGGUGGGCUACUUAUUCUUUCUCUCUUUCUUUCUACGAAAACCCUAAUCAUCUUCUCUAUUUUCUUCUCUUCCUUUUGAUCUUCAGUGGUUUCUAUAGUUCUUCAAUUCGUCUUACUGUAACUGGUACGCCUGCUUUCAAAAAGUUUGUUUUGAUUUUUUCGGUUCGAUGCUGCUUAAUUGUUGUCACUUUUGCAGGGUUGUCACUUUUGCAGGGUUUAGUGUUCAAUUGAAAUUUUUGUUUUGUUUUGAUUUAUUUCUAAAGCCUUUAAUGGGUUCUUUCUGAAUGGAAUCAAUUUACUUCUUCCUAACCCUAAUCUUUGCUUCACUCAUCAUCCCCUUUCUCAUCAUUUUCAUGCAGCCGUGUAUUUUUCAAUUUUUCUUAUUUGUUUUCCUAGCCCUAAUCUUCACACUGCACCAACAAAUCAAGUAACGUCACAGUCCACAGCAUACUUGCAGGUAAUUAGUACAAAGUAUCCUAUUGUCAAAGAUACAUUUAUUUUGAGCAAUUAAGCAGGUAUUAUUGAGAUUCCUGAUAACAACUAUGAAAAGGUUAGUCCACAGCAUAUUUGCGACACUGGAGGCAGAGAAAUGUUGUAUCAAGGAUCAACAACAAGUUCUAAAAGUUCUAUUAUAUCAAGUUUCCCCCUUCAGUUGGCAAGCAACUAGACAACAUGCUAUGAAGACAGGACAGAGGUAUUUGUGGAAACGUCAUGAAAAUCUCUCAGCUGAACCAGUGUGUGACCAGUCACUUAAAAUUACUAUUGCACCUUCAUUUUAUUUCACAUUAUGCUUCUAAUGUAAUUGAUUCAUAAUCAUUGCUUUGUGAAAUUUGACGAUAACCAUUGAAAAUGGAAUGUGUUCAUACUUGGAAAUUGUUGGGGGAGAUCAAUCUUUAGGACGCCCUAAUCAAGAAAAGGAACUACUUGAUAAGUAGACUUUUUUAUAAACUAGAACAACAUGAAAAACAUGCAGAUAUGAAACAAACAAGAUGGCAAAAACAAAGGAGGCGAUAAUUUUUACAAGCAGAAUGCACUUCUUGAUGAAAAGAAGUGUGCAAACUGAAUUAUAAAGAAACCUUGAGAGUAUCUGAGGUUGUUUGUUACACUGCGUUGGGUAGUGUCAUUCAUGUUUGGGUAAAUGUUGAACCUGAUUCUUUAGGUUUGUAAUAUCUGUUUAGAUCUCAUUGAUAUUCCGGUGAUGGCUAUACAACCUCGGAUAAGUUCUGCGCAAUUAUUGAUUCUCAAUUAUUUCGGUUGUGGCUACACCAUUACUUGGUAUCAUUUUUUAGGAAUUUCGACAGGUUCUGAUUGCUUUAUUAUACAACCUAUCAACCAAUUAAUGAUUUUGGUUGAUUACUUGGACUGUUUUUUUUAUCGUGGAAUGGUAACUACAACAUUAUGUUGAUUUAGUGAUAUCUUCGUUAAGCGUUAUGGUUCCUCCUAUAUGAAUUAUUUCUCUCCACAAUUGCUCUCUCUUUUUUUACAUUUUUUUAAUCCCAAAUUACGACAAAUAUGUGUGAUAGUAGAAUUGAGGGAGUAGCUGAGAUAAUUGUAAGUCAGACAUCAUUAUCUGGGUUGCAGGUAAGUUCAUGUUAUAUGUAAUUAUUUCCUUAUUGUAUAGAGUAUAGAUGCUUCAUUUU